UACGAAGGGGGCUAGCGUUGCUCGGAAUCACUGGGCGUAAAGCGCACGUAGGCGGCUUUCUAAGUCAGGGGUGAAAUCCUGGAGCUCAACUCCAGAACUGCCUUUGAUACUGGCGAUCUUGAGUCCGGGAGAGGUGAGUGGAACUGCGAGUGUAGAGGUGAAAUUCGUAGAUAUUGGGAAGAACACCGGUGGCGAAGGCGGCUCUCUGGACCGAGACUGACGCUGAGGCGCGAAAGCGUGGGGAGCAAACAGG
rnacentral:rRNA from 1 species